UCCUUCAGGUCCUGGGAUGGCUGGGUCUUUACCUGAUUUCUCUGACUGCUUCCACCUAACACGGAUUUUUCUUUUCAACCUUGUUCCCGCUCUAUAGGAGCGCUCCUUCAGCAGAAAGGACAGAGGCUGUUCCUCUCAGAAUCAGAUGCGAUACUGUGACCUGUGAGCUCCUAUAGGAGCAUCUGAACAUCUCAUUGAUAUUUAUUGAGGGGGGAUUCCAGGAAGGCAGAGCUGGGCCCUGCCGCCUCCCCCUCCCCCCUCUGCCCCUCCAUCACGCUUCCUUCUCUGAGGCAGAUUUAGCUAAAAUAACCGCUUUGUUUGCACGUUUCCUCCUUUGAGUUUUCUAGGGUCAUUAGAAUGAUCUAACUGCCUUACCUGUUAUUUGAAUGGGGUGAGCCUCUGGAGGGCCAGGAAACAAAAGAAGGGCGUUGAAAUGCAAAUAGACCGCUCUGGGUUCCAGUCCCCGGCUGCAAAAUAAAGCCAAGCCUGACAUCAACGUCCCCACAGAGGUCUGUGGAAAAGACUCUAGAAAAAAUCUCGCAAGAUGUAUUUCUUUUCACGCGCUGGAGUCCCAAGAUAAUCCUUACAAAACAUCUAUUCAUUCUACAAGUGAAAAUUUCAGGAAUACUCGAUACUGACCUUGGUGAGACUAAUGGACCGAGGUUGAGUGAUGGAUCUGUGUGUGUUGUGGCUGACGUGCAUUUUGGUGCUUUGCACGCCAGUUUGAGAAUAUUUUAGCAAAAGGAAAGGAAGAUUUGUGGUGUUUUAAUGAAUGAAUACGAUGAAGGCUUGAACUUGCAGUUGGAGAGCCCGUGAGCAGGUAUGACUACAACUGUACCAACAGCGGAAGUGGCAGGAAGCUGCCGUUUCCUUCGAACCAGAAGGAAAGUUUAUAGAACUGCUGAUGGGAACGUGGACUACAGAUGGAGAUAAAAAUCGGAAUAAUUUGUAUUUGUCCUAGCGUGGGCUGGAGGAGACGCGCAGCAAGGUGGAUGUUCUCCUCUCACAUCCUCAGAGGCCCAGGAGAAUCUGCUAGUGACCCUUGAUCAAGUCAUCUAUAUUCUUGGUAAGAGAUCAGGGACCCAGCUGCCUGGUCAGACACCAGGUAACCAACAUCAAGAUGAAGAGACUCAGGACUUCCCUGGUGGCACAGUGGUUGGGAAUCCGUCUGCCAAUGCAGGGGACAUGGGUUCGAGCCCUGGUUCGGGAAGAUCCCACAUGCCACGGGGGCAACUAAGCCUGUGCGCCACAGCUACUGAGGCUACGCUCUAGAGCCCACGAGCCACAACUACUGAGCCCGCGUGCCACAACUGCUGAAGCCUGUGCGGCUAGAGCCUGUGCUCCGCAACAAGAGAAGCCACCGUAAUGAGAAGCCCGCAGACCAAAACGAAGAUUAGCCCCUGCUUGCCGCAACUAAAGAAAACCCGCGCGCAGCAACGAAGACCCAAUGCAGCCAAAAAUAAAUAAAAUAAAAUAAAUUUAUUAAAAAAACAUGAAGAGGCUCUGUCUCUUAUUUAUGUCAUAAAUACUCUUACUUAUGAUAAACUUAUCAAAAGGCACUGAUUCAGUUGGUCAUUUUGGUAGAAAACCCACAGCUUGCAUAGGAGGACAAGAAAUUGUGUUCACUUUCAUGGAUUCCCUUUUUUCUUUUUGGUAAAUGUGGUUAAUCAAAUACGGGGGGAACACUGUGAUUAGAAGGACGAUAGAUUCAAUUUUUUCAUCAUCGAAGAGUUACCAGAGAUACCAGGGGAAAAAAGAAAAUCCUGCAUUAUCAAAACUUUUUUUCUAAUCCUUUGUAAUCACAUUUAUUUUCACAGCAGGUGUUAUGUAAUACUUGAUGUGUAUGUAAAAUAUUAUGUAAUAUUUUAAUAUGUAAUAAUUAAGAAAAUAUUUUUCACAUUAUUUUGACUGUAUUCUUCUGACGCAGUUUUUUCUCUUAGAAGCGAAGUUCUGUCAUGAAUAAAUGUUAUCUUACAUCGAAUUUAAAAAUCAACCGUUUUCCAAAACAAGAAUAAAAAUGACAGUCAGGAAGACGAUUUUUUAAAAGCGGUUAUCUCAGCUCACGAUUAUGUAAUAUUUACACCUAGGUUAUUUUAAAUGAACCUGGCAAUAGAACUGUUGAUCAAUUAAUGUUGGGAUUUGCAUCGAAGUAGCCACACUCUUGAACGUUUGCCAUAGAACCUGGGCCUUUCGUUGCAGCUGUUGUGUUUCUGUCUAUUCUAACCACUUUGUUAGAAAUAUAAUUUUGA